rnacentral:rRNA from 1 species
GAUGAACGCUAGCGGGAGGCCUAACACAUGCAAGCCGAGCGGUAGAGUUUCUUCGGAAACUUGAGAGCGGCGCACGGGUGCGUAACACGUGUGCAACCUACCUUUAUCUGGGGGAUAGCCUUUCGAAAGGAAGAUUAAUACCCCAUAAUAUAAUGAUUGGCAUCAAUUAUUAUUGAAAACUCCGGUGGAUAGAGAUGGGCACGCGCAAGAUUAGAUAGUUGGUAAGGUAACGGCUCACCAAGUCAAUGAUCUUUAGGGGUCCUGAGAGGGAGAUCCCCCACACUGGUACUGCGACACGGACCAGACUCCGACGGGAGGCAGCAGUGAGGAAUAUUGGGCAAUGAGUGAGAGCCUGAUCCAGCCAUCCCGCGUGAAGGAUGACGGUCCUAUGGAUUGUAAGCUUCUUUUGUACAGGGAUAAACCUACCCUCGUGAGGGUAGCUGAAGGUACUGUACGAAUAAGCACCGGCUAACUCCGUG